CAACCCCCCUCUGCCUGGUACAAAAAUUGCCUGAUAUUUUUCCUGUAGUAAAUCUGGGGUUGGGUGACUGAAUGCAGUAUGCUUUAGGUUUGUCAUCGAGUACAUGUAUGUUGGUGUUGUUUCAAUUCCCAGCUUAUAUGUGCCCAUUUUAAGGAGUAGAGUUGUCUGUCAAACCUCAUGGUAUUUCUGCUGUCCACUGCUAAAGACGCCUAUGCGCAAGCAAAUUAUUGAAUUAGAAUUUAACCAUAUGUUAGUCCCAAAACAACAGUUUGUGUCGAGUGUACGUUAUACAUGUACCCCAUUUAUCUCUUUCUCUCCGACCCCUAGUAAGUAGUAAAUAUGAACGAGUUGGUUUAUUUAUUGCUGUAGGUAUUGAAACUAAUAACCUGUACCAGAAGCCUACAUUGUACAAUUUUAUAACAGAGAAGACCAACCAAGUCUAGAAUUGAUGAAAGACAGAUGUGAAGUCAUUAGGCUGUCUAUAUUUCAUUUCUUCACAACUUUACUUAAGACAAAAGGACGCGUGGCCACGCCCGCGACAAAGACAGCCCGAUAUGUCAAUCAAAGAUUACAUGGAGAAACAGUUAACCAGCCUUCAUUAUACUUCAUCAGAUUUUAACCUGAUCGACAAAACACAGGGCUUCUUGCUUGGUGCCUUAAUUCUUAUAUUCUUACCAUUUCUUCACAUAGGUGUAUUUUAUUCCAUGAUUUGGGUACCAGAUAAACCACCAAUUGAUAGAUCCAGUUGUACGUGUUCCUGUUUUGAUACUAUUUUUAGAGGGCGAUAUGAAGCUCCUGGUGCAGUCAGUUACAAACAUGUAUAUUUCAAUGCUACGAAGGAGACUUUUAAAAUCUGGAUCUUCACAGUUUUAUUUGUGUUAAUGACCUACGAAAGUAUAAAAUAUUUAUAUAAACUCUGUAGAGUAGGGAAGGUUCGAAAGACAAUGUUUGUUUUAUAUCUGGCCAACAUUUAUCCACAUUAUUACAGCUGGUGGUCAUUUUUCAGUUAUUACAACGAAGAAAUAUUCCAGUUCUAUUCCAAUCAUUUUUAUUUCAUGAUGACAGAAAUAAUCGUGACUGUUGUUGUUCUGAAUCUGUGUAACGCCGAGAGCGAGAUAGCAUCCUGGAAGAUUCUACUUAUAAUAACGAUUAACAGCAUGCAUAUCAUGAUCAGUCUGUCCAAUCAGUUUAUAACCCACGUAAUCCACGGUCGAGGUCAACAGUUCCAGAAUGCCAGGAAUAUUGGGUUGAUGAUACCAGAUGUUUUGCAUAUACUGAUCCCCGUGUUUGAUCUGUAUAGAUAUAGCAAGGCAAACAGAAUGGGGAUAACAGAUCUGUUUCAUAAGGAGGAACUAAUGUUGUGUGUUAUGGCUGCAACAUUCGGAACACUUAUUGGGUUUGUGUUAUAAUAAAAAUGAUAACAUAUUUCGACAAAAAUAGGUCUGUCAUUGAUUCAAGUGGUGUGGUUUCAAAAUGGAGUAGGGUUGUGUGCUGAAACAUGGGUUUUCUUUGGGAUGUCCGUCCCCUUCCCUCCCCUCUGCUGAAGCAUACUAUUGUAUCAAGUGGAUGUUAAUUAAAGAUACAUUAUGGGAGAUUAGUUAAAGAGGUUAGUUAAAGAGCUAGCAGUUCUCACUAUAAUAGUUAAAAACUAGAUAAUGUAAAGGGGAUUUGCUGAAAAUUUCAGUCAAAUUGAUCCACUUUGAACCAAGAUUUUAGUGAUUGAAUUUUCAGCCUAGCCUCGAUCAUCAUUACUAAAGUUGGUAUGAUAAAAAACAUAGUCUUGAUUAUCCGUUUCAUGAUUUAUUUAUGAAUGGAAGUCGAACAGGAAAUCAGAACCUAAUCCAAUAAACAUCGCAUGCUAGCGAUGACACCGAGAGUUAAUUAAUGUCUAAUUAAUAAUUUAGAUAACAUUUAAGGCCUAAAGAAAGACGUGCAGUAGGCAGAUUUAGCUCUUGCAUAAUGUAUGUUUAAACCCCAUUUUCCUCACACUCUCUGUCAACAAAAAUAAAUGUCCAUUUCUUUAUGUGCCUUUCUGUCCGCAACAUUUGUUUAAAAUAAAUACAUGUAUUCAU